AUUGAACGCUGGCGGUAUGCUUAACACAUGCAAGUCGAACGAUGAGAAAGAGCUUGCUCUUUCGAUUAGUGGCGGACGGGUGCGUAACGCGUAGGAAUCUACCUAUUAGUGGGGGACAACUUAGGGAAACUUAAGCUAAUACCGCAUACGCCCUACGGGGGAAAGAAGGGGAUCGCAAGACCUUUUGCUAAUAGAUGAGCCUGCGUAGGAUCAGCUAGUUGGUGGGGUAAAAGCUCACCAAGGCGACGAUCCUUAACUGGUUUGAGAGAAUGAUCAGUCACACUGGAACUGAGACACGGUCCAGACUCCUACGGGAGGCAGCAGUGGGGAAUAUUGGACGAUGGGCGAAAGCCUGAUCCAGCAAUACCGCGUGUGUGAAGAAGGCCUUAGGGUUGUAAAGCACUUUCAAUUGGAAGGAAAACCUCGAAGCUAAUACCUUCGAGUUUGACAUUACCUUUAGAAGAAGCACCGGCUAACUCCGUGCCAGCCGCCGCAGUAA
rnacentral:rRNA from 1 species